GCCACGCCAGCUCCGGCAGCUGGGGAAAGACCAGCACUCCCAAACAGGCAGCUGCUGGAAGAAGGAAUCCCGGGGGAGACCUGAUGAGCCGUGGGUGGAAGUCAGGGAAGUCUUCCCUGAGGAGGUGGCAAUUGAGGCGGGCUCUGGAGGAGGACUGAGAGGUGUCUCUCUUGGGAUUCUGGAUUCAGCCUGUUUAGGUUCCGCCUCGGCUGCUGCCUUUCUGACCUGGUGCAGAUUUGGGUCGUGAAGAGAUACACAGCAGCCCGAGGAACACUUCAUGGUCGGAAGGAAGCGCUCUGGAAACCAGACACCAGGAUUCAAGCCCCACUUCGGGGAACUGGCUAAGCUCAAACGUGGGGUAACAAGGAAGUGCUGAGUGCUGACACCCCCAGGAGUGACCUUUGGACAGCGAGGGACCGGGCGUCCUGGGUGAACUCCUGGCUUCAUCACUCCUGAGUGAGGCAGUUCUGGGGUGUGUGCUACAAUCUCUCAGAGACCCUUAGAAGGAUCACCCCUCGACUGACCAGAGCAGGAACCUGCUCAUUCACACCUUCCUUUCCCAAAUGCUCAUUGGGUCUCGGGAGAACCCAAACUAAGACACAGGAUUCCAGAAUUUCUUCCAUCGGUGAAAGAAUCCCUUCUUCAUACCAAAUACCCCUCUAGCCACUCCCCCUUGCUUUGCUCCAUUGGACCCCAACACCCCUCAAAACAUUGCCUGCCCUUGCUCCCUCUCCCUCUCUCUCUCAACUCAAUGAAAAAUAUCCUCGGGUGAGGAUUAAAACAGCAGCAGCAGCAACAACAACAUUGCCCGUCCUUGCCUGUCAAGAGCAAUCAUGACCUCCUAUUGUUCAUCCAAGGCUAUGAUACAGACAGUAUGCACCGGCACAAUUGUUUCAUUGCUAAAAUCCCAGGGUUUUGGCACUGUCUAGAAAAUACCCUUGUAUUCCUUCCAAAGAGUAGUAGAACUCAUGUAAACAACAUUUCGAGCUAAUUGUUGAACGUUGCCAUGAAUUUUGAUGCACUGGUGACAUCUGAGAAACAUUUGCAAAACUUUGCCAGUUUGACUGCUGUCCCUGCGAGCAGCGUGGUUGUCCGUGUAUGAACUGCUCUGGCUUACAGGAGACGCACCCGUUCAUCCUCACCCUCACAUUUCCAGGUUGGUUCUAGUUUCAAACAGCUAAGAUUUACUUCGGUUGUUAUUCUUGGUGCCUUGUGAUUUUCGUGUAAGUAGCAAAUGUGCAAUGUCCUCAUAAUUAUAAAAUGAAAAGCAUAGGAUAAACCAUUGAGAGAAAGCUUCCAGAAUGGAAAGGCAGCGAAGCUUGAGCAAGCUUUUCAAUGUUCCCACUAAGUAUCAGGAAGAACAUCCUGCUGUACCUGGGGGCGGAGAGAGAAGAAAUGAUGUUUAUAGUGAGUUGCAGCCCUGGAACCUCCAAAACUUGCAGAAGCCAGAGGGGCCUGGAGCAGUUUUGCUACUGUGUAAGACUCUCUGUAAAACAUAACAAUUACUUUAUAUUUUGGGCAUAAAAAACAAAUUUUAAAAACCAAAAAUAUGGGUAGUUUAUGGUAACAGGAUAUAAACAUUGGAUGCAGCCCUAACCGGUUUGGCUAAAGGAUAGAGCAUCGGCCUGCAGACUGAAGGGUCCCAGGUUCGAUUCCGGUCAAGGGCAUGUACCUUGGUUGCGGGCACAUACUCAGUAGGGGGCGUGCAGGAGGCAGCUGAUCGAUGUUUCUCUCUCAUUGAUGUUUCUAACUCUCUAUCCCUCUCCCUUCCUCUCUGUGAAAAAUCAAUAAAAUAUAUUUAAAAAAAAUAAAUAUUGGAUGCAAAUGCUGUUCAAAAGCUGUUCAUUAGAGUGGGAAAGGCUGAUGCUUAAAUAUUUCAUCUGAACGGCAACCAUGUUUUGUUUACUUUAGCUCCAAUACGGAAAAUUUGUAAUAGUCAAUAAGGAAAAGGGAAAAGGACAUUGUUAUUCAGUAUCACACCAAAAAGCAUUUGAGUAAUAAAAAAGUUCCAGAAAAAAAUUUGUUUUAUGUCAAUAAUAUUUGUAAAGCAGAUGGAAAGCAUUUAGAAAGUAAUAUAAGACUUUUAAAACACUACAAUGUAUGGCUAAAAGUAAUUGAGACUUUUCAGAUAUGAAACCAUAGAACUUCAAAAAGCGUAAUAUUGAUAUGGGCGUGACAUUGCCAUUCAGACUCACAGAUCUGCUCGAUGCAAAACUGAAAAGACUACGCCGUUCUGCGGAAAACUACCUAAGUCAGCAAAAUUUCUAACGUGAUCCAUGAAGCUUCCAACACCGUCACUAAAAUUGUUUCUGUAAUUUAUUUUAAAAGUGAAAUUCAAGACUUUGACGGUAGUUUAAGGUUUGCUGUUAAUCAUACGAGGCUGUGAUCUGUUUCAGAACAACAUCUGAAAUAAAAUCUGAAAAAAAACAAAAAAACAAAAAAUGAAUUAUAUUCAUUGAAUCUAAACCAUGAUCAAAUGAUGCUUGUGAUGUCCUGGUGGUGGUUUAGAAAUGUCAUUUCAAUGAAAAAUAUUUGCAUAAAGAC